rnacentral:rRNA from 1 species
UACGUAGGUGGCAAGCGUUGUCCGGAUUUACUGGGCGUAAAGGGCGCGUAGGCGGGCCCGCAAGUCAGGGGUGAAAUCCCACGGCUCAACCGUGGAAGUGCCUUUGAUACUGCGGGUCUCGAGGGAGGUAGGGGCGUGCGGAACUUCCGGUGGAGCGGUGAAAUGCGUAGAUAUCGGAAGGAACACCGGUGGCGAAAGCGGCGCGCUGGACCUCUUCUGACGCUGAGGCGCGAAAGCCAGGGGAGCAAAGCGGG